rnacentral:rRNA from 1 species
UACGUAGGGUGCAAGCGUUGUCCGGAAUUAUUGGGCGUAAAGAGCUCGUAGGCGGUUUGUCACGUCGGAUGUGAAAACCCGGGGCUUAACUCCGGGCCUGCAUUCGAUACGGGCUGACUAGAGUUCGGCAGGGGAGACUGGAAUUCCUGGUGUAGCGGUGAAAUGCGCAGAUAUCAGGAGGAACACCGGUGGCGAAGGCGGGUCUCUGGGCCGAUACCGACGCUCAGGCGCGACAGCGUGGGGAGCAAACAGG